rnacentral:rRNA from 1 species
AGAUGACGAGUGGCGCACGGGUGCGUAACGCGUAUACAAUCUACCUUUUACAGGGGGAUAGCCUUUAGAAAUGAAGAUUAAUACCCCAUAGUAAGAUUUGAUGGCAUCAUCAUAUUUUUAAAGUUUCGGCGGUAAAAGAUGAGUAUGCGUUCUAUUAGCUAGAUGGUGUGGUAACGGCAUACCAUGGCGACGAUAGAUAGGGGCCCUGAGAGGGGGAUCCCCCACACUGGUACUGAGACACGGACCAGACUCCUACGGGAGGCAGCAGUGAGGAAUAUUGGACAAUGGGCGGAAGCCUGAUCCAGCCAUGCCGCGUGCAGGAAGACUGCCCUAUGGGUUGUAAACUGCUUUUAUACGGGAAGAAACCCAUCUACGUGUAGAUGGCUGACGGUGCCGUAAGAAUAAGGAUCGGCUAACUCCGUGCCAGCAGCCGCGGUAAUACGGAGGAUCCAAGCGUUAUCCGGAAUCAUUGGGUUUAAAGGGUCCGUAGGUGGAUAAUUAAGUCAGAGGUGAAAGUCUGCAGCUCAACUGUAGAAUUGCCUUUGAUACUGGUUAUCUUGAGUCAUUGUGAAGUAGUUAGAAUAUGUAGUGUAGCGGUGAAAUGCAUAGAUAUUACAUAGAAUACCAAUUGCGAAGGCAGAUUACUAACAAUGUACUGACACUGAUGGACGAAAGCGUGGGGAGCGAACAGGAUUAGAUACCCUGGUAGUCCACGCCGUAAACGAUGGUUACUAGCUGUUCGGAUUUCGGUCUGAGUGGCUAAGCGAAAGUGAUAAGUAACCCACCUGGGGAGUACGUUCGCAAGAAUGAAACUCAAAGGAAUUGACGGGGGCCCGCACAAGCGGUGGAGCAUGUGGUUUAAUUCG